rnacentral:rRNA from 1 species
GACGAACGCUGGCGGCGUGCCUAAUACAUGCAAGUAGAACGCUGAAGGAGGAGCUUGCUUCUCCGGAUGAGUUGCGAACGGGUGAGUAACGCGUAGGUAACCUGCCUGGUAGCGGGGGAUAACUAUUGGAAACGAUAGCUAAUACCGCAUAAGAGUAGAUGUCGCAUGACAUUUGCUUAAAAGGUGCAACUGCACCACUAACAGAUGGACCUGCGUUGUAUUAGCUAGUUGGUGAGGUAACGGCUCACCAAGGCAACGAUACAUAGCCGACCUGAGAGGGUGAUCGGCCACACUGGGACUGAGACACGGCCCAGACUCCUACGGGAGGCAGCAGUAGGGAAUCUUCGGCAAUGGACGGAAGUCUGACCGAGCAACGCCGCGUGAGGGAAGAAGGGUUUCGGAUCGUAAAGCUCUGUUGUAAGAGAAGAACGAGUGUGAGAGUGGAAAGUUCACACUGUGACGGUAUCUUACCAGAAAGGGACGGCUAACUACGUG